AAUGGGCGAAAGCCUGACCCAGCAACGCCGCGUGAAGGAUGAAGGCCUUCGGGUCGUAAACUUCUGUCGAGAGGGAAGAAUGCGUACGGGUGAAUAAUCCGUGCGUUUGACGGUACCUCCAAAGGAAGCACCGGCUAACUCCGUGCCAGCAGCCGCGGUAAUACGGAGGGUGCAAGCGUUGUUCGGAUUCAUUGGGCGUAAAGCGAGUGUAGGCGGUUUGACAAGUCGGAUGUGAAAUCCCGGGGCCCAACCCCGGAACUGCAUCCGAUACUGUCUGGCUAGAGUCCCGGAGAGGGUGGCGGAAUUCCCGGUGUAGGGGUGAAAUCCGUAGAUAUCGGGAGGAACACCAGUGGCGAAGGCGGCCACCUGGACGGUGACUGACGCUGAGACUCGAAAGCGUGGGUAGCAAA
rnacentral:rRNA from 1 species